UUGUCUUCGGAUAAUGAGACCGGCGCACGGGUGCGUAACGCGUAUACAAUCUACCUUUUACAGAGGGAUAGCCCAGAGAAAUUUGGAUUAAUACCUCAUAGUAUUUUUGAAUGGCAUCAUUUGAUUAUUAAAGUUCCAACGGUAAAAGAUGAGUAUGCGUCCCAUUAGCUAGAUGGUAAGGUAACGGCUUACCAUGGCUACGAUGGGUAGGGGUCCUGAGAGGGAGAUCCCCCACACUGGUACUGAGACACGGACCAGACUCCUACNGGAGGCAGCAGUGAGGAAUAUUGGACAAUGGGCGCAAGCCUGAUCCAGCCAUGCCGCGUGCAGGAAGAAGGUCCUAUGGAUUGUAAACUGCUUUUAUACAGGAAGAAACACUCCCUCGUGAGGGAACUUGACGGUACUGUAUGAAUAAGGACCGGCUAACUCCGUGCCAGCAGCCGCGGUAAUACGGAGGGUCCAAGCGUUAUCCGGAAUCAUUGGGUUAAAGGGUCCGUAGGCGGCCAAAUAAGUCAGUGGUGAAAGCCCAUCGCUCAACGAUGGAACGGCCAUUGAUACUG
rnacentral:rRNA from 1 species